CAGUUGGCACGUGCGCCUAGGCAGAGCUUACAGAAAGUUCCCUGGGCCGGGUAUUUUGUAUCAAAAUCCCGCUCCAGACCUGUGCCCUAAGCCCGCACCGCCCAAAAUACUCUAGAAUCUUCUGUGGGGUGGGCCUGGGGCAUCACCAACGCGAAUCCAAACAGUUUCCUGCCCAAAGCCUGUUUAAAAGCAUUGUGAUUAGGGUUAGGGUUUCAUCUUUUUGUCUAGCAUCGUUUUGUACUCUCUCUCUUCAAGUGUAAGCUGCGUUGCAGCCUCCUUCUCCGGCUUAGCCGAGAGCUCCCAAGAACAUCAAUGGAGUUUGAGCUUCCUUUCUUCUACCCUGGCGUGGUUCUCCGGUGUUAAGGGUGAGCUACAAUGACGUGAGUCUUCACGGUAAAGGGUUUUGGGUGAGGGAAUCGCCAGCCGGACGGAUCCCCUGCUCAUUUUUGGGUGUUGUUUACUUUGGGGUCCUAUUUCACCAGUGGACACGGUUGCCGUAGUGUGGGUCUUCCCGGAGGAGGUGCUAGCCAUCACUUACAGCCACCAUGGGACGAGCUUUUCCUUGUAGUCCCCGAUCAGCCGCUACAUCCAUACCACAUCUUCCUCAUCUUCCACCGUGGGAUAUCCUCCGGAUGCCAGGUAAUGCCACUGCCACCAGCCCUUUUGUAUUAACCUCUCUUGCUUGGCCUAUUCGGGUUAGGCACCGAAAGCAGCCGAAGGAAGGGCUGGACGUAUCUCGCCAGGAGUCGGUUGUGCACAUUUAAGACGCACAGCUGCCAGCAAGUCCACAGCCACUAUCACCACUCAAAUCACCUGCCUUCCCCCACCCCCUUUUUGUCGCCUGCCGAGUUGCUAUAAGAAGCCAAGCUCGCGUCGCAUAACCUCCCUAGCGCUGGACUCUGCUAGUCGCAACCUGUCUCAGCUAUCACGUCCCUGGCUGUCGUCGUUAGUUGUCGCCCGCUCCCUUUCGACGAUAGCUGCUGCCACCAUCGGUCCCUGGACACGGCCUAAGUAACCUCCCUAGCAUCAAAAUCCGAUAGCCACAAACGUCCCGCCAUCUUCCGCUGUCGCUCGUUGUAGCCCACAUCCCCGUCGUCUGCAGUCGCUGCUACUAGCCCGCUCGCACCUAGCUUAACCUCCCUGCCGUUGAGACCCGCAAGCCCUCUGGCCGGUGAAAGCACGACGAAUGGGGAAUGGUUUGCUCGCUUGAAUGAAUGCGUGAAUGGUUUGGAGCUGGCCAGCGGCAUUGGUGAGUUGUGAGAGAUUUUUAUUCAGUUGUAUCGCUCUCGGUUGUACUUUAGACCAACCCUCCCCCUCCCCCUCACUUGUAAACUUGUAUUCGGGUUGAAAAACUAAGUGUACCCGUGGGCAAGGCUAUUGUCCAGUCGGGUUUGUCUGACUCGGGAUUGAGUUUUGUAAUAGGGAGUGAACCUCCCUUCAGCGUAUCAGUCUGACAUUUGGUCCCGAGAAGGUAGAGCGCCCUCGGUAGGCCUAUUUAGAUAUAGAGGGAGGUUUGGAAAUAUAAGGAGGACGACAAGAAAUUGGAGCUUUCGUUUAUAGCUCAGUCGAGCUACUAGCAGUAAGAAUCAAAAUGGAACCGGCUAGUACCAGUAACACAAGAAAUUUGGACGAUCAUUAGGGUGAUCAAAAGGUACUUAAUAGCUCUUCAAAAUAUACCCAACCCAACCCAGUAGAUCUCGAUUGGUCAUCAAGAAAGAUGUCAGCAAUGUCUGACCAAGGUAGGGUAGCCUGUAGCAAAGAGCGAAAUUAGCCCCAAGAUUCACUCAGGACAACACAAACAGGACCGGGUUUAGCUAAUAGUCCUGCUAUCUACUCAAGGAGACCCAAGGAUGAAGUUGGGUAGGUUCAGAACCAGAGUUGGCCAAAGGACAGAAUGGCGGGCAGCCGUUUCAUUCCGACAAUUCCAAUCAGAAGUAAGCUGAAGCAUGUCUGCAAACUUCCGACAACAGAGAGGGCUUUCCAAAUAAAGAUGGGAGGGGUUGGCCCACCUGGGAAAGAGAUGCCGGAAUUUGUAAGGGUUGGUUUCCCAAGUCUUGCUGGCAUCAGCCGUCGGGUCGUCCGACUAUGAGAGUAUGAUGAUAGUCGAUGGCUGUCCUAGCCGCUGCUGUUGUUGGACAGCUACACUGCUCUGCCAAAGUGUUUUGGGGAUUUCUGUCUAUGUAUGAACUCACAAUAUUUUCUCAUUUCAUUCAAGAACAUGCCAAAGAUGAUACAGAAUUGGCUCAACUAGUUUUUAUACUAGCAAUGGCAUAAGCUUGUCACAA